rnacentral:rRNA from 1 species
GACGAACGCUGGCGGCGUGCUUAACACAUGCAAGUCGAACGGAAAGGCCCUGCUCUUGUGGGGUGCUCGAGUGGCGAACGGGUGAGUAACACGUGAGUAAACUGCCCUUGACUUUGGGAUAACUUCAGGAAACUGGGGCUCAUACCGGAUAGGAGCUCCUGCUGCAUGGUGGGGGUUGGAAAGUUUCGGCGGUUGGGGAUGGACUCGCGGCUUAUCAGCUUGUUGGUGGGGUAGUGGCUUACCAAGGCUUUGACGGGUAGCCGGCCUGAGAGGGUGACCGGCCACAAUGGGACUGAGAUACGGCCCAGACGCCUACGGGAGGCAGCAGUGGGGAAUAUUGCACAAUGGGCGGAAGCCUGAUGCAGCAACGCCGCGUGCGGGAUGACGGCCUUCGGGUUGUAAACCGCUUUCGCCUGUGACGAAGCGUGAGUGACGGUAAUGGGUAAAGAAGCACCGGCUAACUACGUG